rnacentral:rRNA from 1 species
AUUGAACGCUGGCGGCAUGCUUUACACAUGCAAGUCGAACGGUAACAGGCCUUUUGGUGCUGACGAGUGGCGAACGGGUGUGUAAUGCACCUGAACGUGUCCAGGGGUGGGGGGGAACGCAGCGAAAGCUGGGCUAAUACCCCACGUGAUCUGAGGGUGAAAGCGGGGGAGCAGGUCGCAACGUUUGGCCUCGCGCCUUUGGAGCGGCCGAUGUCAGAUUAGGUAGUUGGUGGGGUAAAGGCCUACCAAGCCGACGAUCUGUAGCUGGUCUGAGAGGACGACCAGCCACACUGGAACUGAGACACGGCCCAGACUCCUACGGGAGGCAGCAGUGGGGAAUUUUGGACAAUGGGCGCAAGCCUGAUCCAGCAAUGCCGCGUGCGGGAAGAAGGCCUUCGGGUUGUAAACCGCUUUUGUACGGAACGAAAAGGAUCUGGCUAAUACCUGGGGCUGAUGACGGUACCGUAAGAAUAAGCACCGGCUAACUACGUG